GGGUAGUAUAAUCUGUCGGAUAUCAUCACUGUCAGCUGUGCUGCUGUUGAAUCCUUCUGGGAUCACACACUCGUGCGUGUACACUCAAAGGCAUAAAGGAUGAGCAACCCAGCUGCUUGGGAGAGACAGAGAAGGCCGAGGAUUACAAGUGUUACUCAUCGCUACUACAGAGUAUGUGUCCCUGUCUUUACACAGACCAAAGAUACAGUAAUAAAUGAAUAUUUCAUGUUACAUGUGAAAGACUGUCACUCAUUAGUGUAAUGUUUCCACCUAUAACGGUUUAUGCAUAGCUGUGCCUAUGAGCUGCUAUUAAUUGUGAAUGAGAUCGGAGCUCAGAACACUUAAAAGCGCUGAGCUUUGCUACUGGGGGAGGAUUUACAUAUAUGCGUCAUAUUUUGACAUGGUGUGAGAGACACUGGGACAUAUAAGAUAGCACAAACAGUUGUAUGAAAGUGUCAGAAGACCAGAUUGAUGUAAGGCCAGAUAUGGCCCAGUACUAUCUAUAAGCUCACCAUAAUCAUUCAUAAUGAUACAGUAUAUUGCUAGACCCUUCAGAUAAAUACCUGAUAAGAUGAACUAUUGAUUUUGGGCCAUAGUCACACAGGUAUAAUAAAAUGUACGUUUUAUAGUUUGUAUGUCAUAGCCUCUGUACUUUAGAGUUUGCACAUCACUUGCUUGGUGUCUUUACUAUUUUUUUUAAAUGUUUUUUCUGUGCUCUGCGUUUCCCACAGUGGAGGAUGCAACAGGCUUGAAGGAUCUUACACUCAGACUGGGUCACAGCUAGGCACAAUGUAGUAGCACUGAGUACAAAGUGUUAUGUCUUCGUGGCACUAAAGUAAAGCUCAGUUAAGCAGCACUGCAGCAAGCAACUCUGAUGAGGAAAGCUGUUCUAAUCCCAGCAGGACGCCCUGACCUUUGCCACGUGUCGCCUCUUUCAUCUUCCAUCUUGUCUUGCAUCAUCAGAAAUGCAGAAAGCAUCAGAAAAGUGUGAAGACGGAGCUGCACAGACGUCUGAACCAGGGCCGCCUCCCUCUGCCCACUGAGGGUCACAACCUGCUGGGUUUUCUCCUGCCUGCACUAUAUUGGGUGCUGUACAUCAGACUGAAAGGGACUGGUGCUGAUAUUUCUAGGCUGUAAUCAAAGAUGGAAUCCAGGAACCUCUCAUCUCAUUGGGCUGAUCAGCAGCUAGCAGGACAUGGACCCCAACAACCUCAGCUCACAACCCUCCUAUUUUCUUCGUAGCUCCACAGAUUGCGCAGCUAGUUCACAUCUCUCAAUAUCGCUCACAGUCUAAAUAAAUGUUUGGUUUGUGUCUGGUUACUGUA